UUUUUUCCAACAGGUGCUGUCACCUGACUUUUUGAUCUUCGUGAUUCUGAUUGGGAUAACUUCUCCAAGAACCUGUGUAUUGGAUUGUAGCUAAAUCAAGAUGUUUGAAAUCAGAAGAUCAUGAUCAGGUCUCUGACUGAACCCGAAACUCAGAUCGGCUAGACUGGCAAGCCAAGUCUUGCUGUCUCUGCCUUAUCACCUCUGAGACUGCAAGCCAGCUCUGUCACAUCUAGUUUCUAAGGUGGGUGCUGGCAAUCCAAAUUGAGGUUCUUAUGCUUGUACAGCCAAGCUCCUUCCUGACUGAGCUAGCUCCCAGUCCCUGGAUCACUGUUUUUGUUGCUAUGUUUUAGUUAUUUUCCUGUUGCUUGCUCUUGUGAUUCUAAUUAACAUCAUACCCUUAAAGAACGUAGGUUAACACUACCUAACUAAAAUUCCAAAACUUUGUAUUUUGUAUAAUUUCAUUCAGUCUCUGUCUAGUUUAUUCUAAUGUUGUUCAAAUUAUGUUUCUACAUAUAAAUCUAGUCAAACAAUUUUAAAUUUUG
ensembl:lncRNA